AUUAUUUAUUAAUAAGUGGAUAAGGUUAUAGUUAGAGAAAGAUGGUCAAUUUGAGUUGAUGAUGAUGAUGAUGGAAGUGUUUGUUUGUAUUCUAUAAAGAGAGAAAAAGAAGGAAUUUUUUUAAUGCUUUGGAACAUGGGGAGAGGCGUUGCUGAACUGUUGAGCUUUCAGAGUGUUUAGGAAUCCAAAACCAUGAUUAAAGGUGGGUCUAUUUGUGACGAUUGGAAGAUUUGAACAUCAAUCAUUACCAUGGGAAAGAAGACUUGGGCACUACCAGUGAAGAAAGGUCUUUCCCGUUGGGCCUAGGUGCAAACGCCUCCCAUAAUUCAAUUAUGGUGAGUCGUUAUCUCUUAUAUUAGAUCAUAUGCUGAUAUUAAGAAGAUUAUGAUUAUUAUCCCUUGGCAAGCUUUGAACGGUAUCCAACCAUCUUCCAGCUGAAUGAUCACUGCUAUUACAUUAAAUUUUAGUUUCUGUUUUUUGCCAUCAUUUUAUUUAUGUUAGUUUGGGAGUUUGUAAUUGUAUUGUUUCUUAUGUUUAAAUUAAAUCGACUUAAGCAAUAAGCGGUAUGAUAAUUUUUUUCUAUCAGUUAGUUUUUUCUAAAACAAUCCAAUGUUACUCAAUAAAAUCUUCCUA